rnacentral:rRNA from 1 species
GACGAACGCUGGCGGCGUGCUUAACACAUGCAAGUCGAACGGAAAGGCCCUGCUUUUGUGGGGUGCUCGAGUGGCGAACGGGUGAGUAACACGUGAGUAACCUGCCCCUGACCUUGGGAUAACUUCAGGAAACUGGGGCUAAUACCGGAUAGGAGCUCCUGCUGCAUGGUGGGGGUUGGAAAGUUUCGGCGGUUGGGGAUGGACUCGCGGCUUAUCAGCUUGUUGGUGGGGUAGUGGCUUACCAAGGCUUUGACGGGUAGCCGGCCUGAGAGGGUGACCGGCCACAUUGGGACUGAGAUACGGCCCAGACUCCUACGGGAGGCAGCAGUGGGGAAUAUUGCACAAUGGGCGGAAGCCUGAUGCAGCAACGCCGCGUGCGGGAUGACGGCCUUCGGGUUGUAAACCGCUUUCGCCUGUGACGAAGCGUGAGUGACGGUAAUGGGUAAAGAAGCACCGGCUAACUACGUG